rnacentral:misc_RNA from 1 species
AACUGAUACUACCUGCGGGAACCUGCGGAGGGAUCAUUAAAAGUUAGGCAGGAGGGCUCUUGUUGGCACGAGUUGAGACAUGGGGAGGAGGAGUAAGAAUAAGAAUCCAAAGAAAAAAAAAACGAAGGAAAAGGAUCAAUAAUGUCCAGUAAGAACCCUACGGGGGCUGGUCCUCAUGUCUAUCUAACGCUGCAAGGGCUCUCUUGUCCUGAAUUACCCGGGUGUGAAUGUGUGCCAAAC